rnacentral:rRNA from 1 species
CGGCUCAGUAACACGUGGAUAACCUACCCUCAGAUCUGGGAUAACUCCGGGAAACUGGAGAUAAUACCGGAUAAUCCGUGAACGCUGGAAUGCCUCACGGUUGAAAGCUUUAGCGUCUGAGGAUGGGUCUGCGGCCGAUUAGGUAGUUGCUGGGGUAACGUCCCAACAAGCCUAUAAUCGGUACGGGUUGUGAGAGCAAGAGCCCGGAGAUGGAUUCUGAGACACGAAUCCAGGUCCUACGGGGCGCAGCAGGCGCGAAAACUUUACACUGCGCGAAAGCGCGAUAAGGGGACCUCGAGUGCGUGCGCAAUGCGUACGCUUUUCAGAUGCCUAAAAAGCAUCUGGAAUAAGGGCCGGGCAAGACCGGUGCCAGCCGCCGCGGUAACACCGGCGGCUCAAGUGGUGGCCGCUAUUAUUGGGCUUAAGGGUCCGUAGCCGGACCAGUUAGUCCCUUGGGAAAUCUUACGGCUUAACCGUAAGGCUGCCAAUGGAUACUGCUGGUCUUGGGACCGGGAGAGGUAAGAGGUACCUUAGGGGUAGGAGUGAAAUCCUGUAAUCCUUAAGGGACCGCCAGUGGCGAAGGCGUCUUGCUAGAACGGGUCCGACGGUGAGGGACGAAAGCUAGGGGCACGAACCGGAUUAGAUACCCGGGUAGUCCUAGCCG